UGUCUUGCCACGACACGGCGCGGGAGAUGUGGCCGUCCACGUCCUCCUGGGCGCCCGGCUGGAUGUUGGACUUUUCGUGCCAGCCCUUGAGUCUCUUCAAGACACAUCGACUGACAAUGCAAUGGCCCAGUUCCGUUUGAGAGUGAAGCCCGUUUGAGCGUGAAGCCCGUUUGAGCGUGAAGCCCGAGUUCACAUCGUUAGAGCAGGCGGCGACCAAGAGUGAUGGGCGAAGCACCGGCGCAGACGAAGAACCGACCCGCCACGCGCUCUUCCGUCUAGACGGCCGAAGGUUUUUCCCCGUACACGUGUGCUGCACCGGGAGACUCCUUCCGCAAGCGGAGCGGGAUCUUUGCGGAAGCAGCCGCAACCGACCACGCUCUGCGGCGCGUCCGUGGGCGUGUCUCAAGGUCUCUUUGCGAGCCUCGUGUGUUCCUGAGAAAGUCAUUUGUCGGUGCUCGUCAUAACGGCCCACCUUGACGAAGCCCGGGAACGGAAACGCCAUUCAGUUGAACUGAGUUCACUUCAGGUUCAUUUAUCUUCCAACAAAUUGGUGCGGGUCAUCUAGGCGACAGAAGGUGCCGUCUGAAAACUUUAAGGAUGUCCGGAGGAUCGUGAAUAAAACAGAUUUCAUACCAGCUUAACGCAACCACACUGUCCGGGGUCGCGGACAUCCACACAAAAGAAUUUAAUAUCGUUAAAAAAUUAUCUAGUAUACCAACUGAGACAACAAUUGAACCAACAAACAGGUGUUACCACAUAAGUAAAAAAACACGAAUGAAACUC